AAAAAGGAUCCAUACAUCUGUAGUUGAAUGCAUAUCAGGCUAUCAGCAUUCGGCUUUUGAUUAAAAUUGAAGCAGAAAAGUAUGUGAAAAACAACAAAGUAGAUGACUUAGUAUGACUGUGACUGAGGUCAGGUGUUGCUGCCACAAUCUAUUGUGGUUCAUAAUUUCGCGAUCAAAUAAUACUUUUCCAUCUCUCUAUUUUAUUGCUCAAACUAUAUUUGGGAGAUGAAAAGAGGUUUAGUUAGUUUUGUAUCUUAUAUGAGCUUUAUUUGUAUGCUGAGUAUAAACUAGGCAUUGAUCCUUGCAAACUUCAUCUUGUCCCUUUGAUAUGUAGUAUAGGGUAUAAAUAGUGGUGUUGAUUGACAAGAAAUGUAUUAGGUAAAAAGAUGUGGUACAUAACUGAUUAUAGAUUGUCUGGUGAACUGAUUUUUAGGUUCCUUAAUUUCAUUCAACAUAUAUAUAUCCAAAUGACAAAAAUAUGUUGCAUGAAAAUAUUCAAGUGGAGAGGAUAUAAAUAAAAUUGUGAACUUGAGCAUUUUGCAAUAGUUAACAUUGUUUAGUGUUAAUUAAACAGACAUGCAAGCUCCAUUAGGUAUCUAAUUCUGUAUGAUGUGAUCAAGGACAUCCUAUCUUUCUAAUGGUAAUUUCUUACUUAAGUUGAAAAUAUUAUCCUGUUGCACUGUGCCUCAGUCCGUAACCAUGUAUACUAAUGAAUUCUUCUUCAAGUUAGCUGGUCUUAAGUAUAACCCAAGAACACCACGUCUAUGCACAUUGAGCUUCUAAUUUAAUCUAGUUAGCCAUAGGUUACAUAGCCAGUAAUGGAGUAGUUCUCUAAAUUUGUUCGGUCUCUUCAAAGUAAAACUCCUGAACUCUGCUUUAUUGGACUGAGGAAGCAGACAAGUUUAACCUUGUAUAAAUAUUUUACCUCGAGGCUAUUUUGGAAAUCCUCUCAGUAAUUUAAUUAUUUUUUCUUGGAGCAUUUUACAGCUUCAUAUUUCUAUUGUCCCUAUCUUUGGACACUAUGGUUUUCAAACAUUUAUCUGUACUCUAACUUCAGUAAAGUGAUUGGAUGUAGGAUAUGAUCAGCUCUUUAUGAGAAAUUUCACCUGUUCUGUUAAGAGAAACAGUGUGGAACUUUUUCUUCUUCAAUUUUGGUUUUAGCUUCCUAGCUUUUCUUUAAUGUGGUUUAGUGUUUUAUAUUUUCUCUUUUGAGCUGCUUGUAACUUUGGUAUUAGAGCAAGCACCAAAUUCCUGGAGUUUGUCUCUAAUCGUCUUGCACAAAAGUGCACUUGCUAAGAGCAGAAGCUUGGGAAUUUAGUGGAUUUGGCUCAGAAGGGAAGCUUUAUUACUAGAGGUCCUAGACUUAUCAUCAUAUGUGAUGGUGCUGCACUUGCUAAGAGCAGAAACUUGGGAAUUUAGUGGAUCUGUCUUAGAAUGGAAUCUCUAUUAUUAGAAGUCUGAGAUUUGUCAGCAUAUGUGGUGCCAUGUGAAUAUAUCCAAUGCAAAUUCUGGUGGAUAUUUUAACAUGAAAAAUUCUCAAAAUCUUGUGACAGUUGUCUUGUAAUGCGCAUCCAAGUCAACUACAUAAAAAAUACGAAAAAGGAAUCUGGGACAUUUAAGUUGGGCUUCUCCUACUUGGAUGAUUAUUUAGGUGCGCAUCGUAUUGUGCUUGGGUGUUGCAGUUUUCGUAACUGAGAUUGUGGAGAAGCUGGAGAAAGUAAUAAGCAAAAACUGAUUACGGAUAGUGAUCCAUGAUGAAAAGAGCUAUGGCUAGAAGGCCUGGUGCUUGCCUCGAGUUGAGCACAUUGAAGCGCCAAAUCCACUAUUUUCAGGGCCUUCCAUUGUUCUUCUACAUUCCAGAGCCUAAUUUCUUCAUCAAGAAAACUAAGGAAAUUGUUGCUUCUCUGCAAGUUUUUCC